UACCCGCAGCACAAGUGGUGGUCAUUAUUAUUGGGCCUAAAGCGUCCGUAGCUGGCUUGUUAGAUGCCUGGGUAAAUCGAUGCGCUCAACGCAUCGAACUCCGGGUAGACCGGCAAGCUUGGGACCGGGAGAGGCGUGAGCUACUCGAGGGGUAGGGGUAAAAUCCUGUAAUCCUUCGGGGAGGACCAGUGGCGGAGGCGUCACGCUAGAACGGCUCCGACAGUGAGGGACGAAGCCCUGGGGCGCAAACCGG
rnacentral:rRNA from 1 species